UACGAAGGGUGCAAGCGUUACUCGGAAUUACUGGGCGUAAAGCGUGCGUAGGUGGUGAGUUAAGUCUGUCGUGAAAGCCCCGGGCUCAACCUGGGAAUGGCGAUGGAUACUGGCUCGCUAGAGUGCGGUAGAGGAGAGUGGAAUUCCCGGUGUAGCAGUGAAAUGCGUAGAUAUCGUGAGGAACACCAGAGGCGAAGGCGGUUUCCUGGACAGUUACUGACGCUCAGGCACGAAAGCAUGGGGAGCAAAAGGG
rnacentral:rRNA from 1 species